GACAGAGGGUGCAAGCGUUGUUCGGAAUCAUUGGGCGUAAAGGGCGCGUAGGCGGUUUUGUAAGUCGAAUGUGAAAGCCCAGGGCUCAACCUUGGAAGUGCAUCCGAAACUGCGAAACUUGAAUCCUGGAGAGGGUGGUGGAAUUCCCAGUGUAGAGGUGAAAUUCGUAGAUAUUGGGAAGAACACCGGUGGCGAAGGCGGCUCACUGGCUCAUUACUGACGCUCAGGCGCGACAGCGUGGGGAUCAAACAGG
rnacentral:rRNA from 1 species